rnacentral:rRNA from 1 species
GACGAACGCUGGCGGCGUGCCUAAUACAUGCAGGUAGAACGCUGAAGGAGGAGCUUGCUUCUCUGGAUGAGUUGCGAACGGGUGAGUAACGCGUAGGUAACCUGCCUGGUAGCGGGGGAUAACUAUUGGAAACGAUAGCUAAUACCGCAUAAGAGUAGAUGUUGCAUGACAUUUGCUUAAAAGGUGCAAUUGCAUCACUACCAGAUGGACCUGCGUUGUAUUAGCUAGUUGGUGAGGUAACGGCUCACCAAGGCAACGAUACAUAGCCGACCUGAGAGGGUGAUCGGCCACACUGGGACUGAGACACGGCCCAGACUCCUACGGGAGGCAGCAGUAGGGAAUCUUCGGCAAUGGACGGAAGUCUGACCGAGCAACGCCGCGUGAGUGAAGAAGGUUUUCGGAUCGUAAAGCUCUGUUGUAAGAGAAGAACGAGUGUGAGAGUGGAAAGUUCACACUGUGACGGUAUCUUACCAGAAAGGGACGGCUAACUACGUG